rnacentral:lncRNA from 1 species
AAAAAAAACAACCCAAAAUCCAACACCUGUGCAUGAGCAUCAAAAACAGAAAUUUCUGGCUGGCUGGGGAAGGUCAGGCUGAGAAGCUGCUCCUGUUUGACACUGCAACAUGCCAGAGUGAUGAAUAUUUAAUCAGGCAAGAGAGAACUGUGUGGGAGGUUGAAGCAGCUGUAGCUCCUGGUUGAUUGUCUGAAGCAUCAUCUUAAGAGUGUCUUGUGUAAAGGAGCUCUUGGGGUACAUUUUUUUUCUUCUAAUUCUGCAAAUACAUGAAUAUUCCUGACUCCCAUUAACUCAAUUGUUCUAUUAAAAAUGGACAUGUGCCUUUAUGUUUUGAUCUGCUUACUGUUCAUUUGCUGUUACAGAAACAAGGACGGGGCUCAUUAAGUAUUACCAAGAGGUAGGAUACCAUGAAAUUAGUAAAUGUAGUAAUUUCCCAUUUAUGCGCUCUUAUACCAUUGAUAAAUGUGAAGUGCACAAGAAAGCAGAAGGUUUUUAACCAUGUAGGAAAACAAAUGCAUCAGAAUAAACUGAUGCAUUCAAAGUUAACUUUCUAGUUU